GAUGAAGAACGUAGCGAAAUGCGAUACGUAAUGUGAAUUGCAGAAUUCAGUGAAUCAUCGAAUCUUUGAACGCACAUUGCACUCUCUGGUAUUCCGGAGAGUAUGCUUGUUUGAGUAUCAGUAAACACCUCAAAUCUCUUGUUUCUUGUGAAUAAGAGAAUUGGACUUGAGCAAUCCCAACUCUUGCAAAAGAGGCGGGUUGCUUGAAAUGCAGGUGCAGCUGGACAUUCUUCUGAGCUAAAAGCAUAUUUAUUUAGUCCCGUAAAACGGAUUAUUACUUUUGCUGCAGCUAACAUAAAGGUUGAAUGGCCAAUAUGGCUGACUGAUGCAGGAUUAACAGAGAAUUUAUUCUUUGUAAACUCGAUCUCAAAUCAAGUAAGACUACCCGCUGAACUUAAGCAUAUCAAUAAGCGGAGG
rnacentral:misc_RNA from 1 species